AGAGUUUGAUCAUGGCUCAGAGCGAACGCUGGCGGCAGGCUUAACACAUGCAAGUCGAGCGGGCGUAGCAAUACGUCAGCGGCAGACGGGUGAGUAACGCGUGGGAACGUACCUUUUGGUUCGGAACAACCCAGGGAAACUUGGGCUAAUACCGGAUAAGCCCUUCGGGGGAAAGAUUUAUCGCCGAAAGAUCGGCCCGCGUCUGAUUAGCUAGUUGGUGAGGUAACGGCUCACCAAGGCGACGAUCAGUAGCUGGUCUGAGAGGAUGAUCAGCCACAUUGGGACUGAGACACGGCCCAAACUCCUACGGGAGGCAGCAGUGGGGAAUAUUGGACAAUGGGCGCAAGCCUGAUCCAGCCAUGCCGCGUGAGUGAUGAAGGCCCUAGGGUUGUAAAGCUCUUUUGUGCGGGAAGAUAAUGACGGUACCGCAAGAAUAAGCCCCGGCUAACUUCGUGCCAGCAGCCGCGGUAAUACGAAGGGGGCUAGCGUUGCUCGGAAUCACUGGGCGUAAAGGGUGCGUAGGCGGGUCUUUAAGUCAGGGGUGAAAUCCUGGAGCUCAACUCCAGAACUGCCUUUGAUACUGAAGAUCUUGAGUUCGGGAGAGGUGAGUGGAACUGCGAGUGUAGAGGUGAAAUUCGUAGAUAUUCGCAAGAACACCAGUGGCGAAGGCGGCUCACUGGCCCGAUACUGACGCUGAGGCACGAAAGCGUGGGGAGCAAACAGGAUUAGAUACCCUAGUAGUCC
rnacentral:rRNA from 1 species